AUUCACUCUGUAUAUUAUUUGAGGGAUGGAGGGGAAAGAGGCAGAUGGGAACAUUUUUCAGCGUCUAACUUUAAAUUUCCUGUGUGGUCUUCCAGACUGAGAAUCAAGGAAGCUGAGUCUGGAGACUAUCCCUCCUGCUGACGGUGAAUGAAGACUGCAAUAUUCUCUGCUGCAAGUCCAUCUGCUCUUGAACCUUUAAAAAGAUCUAUCUAACAGUGUUUUUCCUUUGAAGUUUCCAAAGCUACUUAUGAAGCCUUGAAAGCAGUACUAUUCAUGUGCUACAGAUACGAGAGCUGAAUCAUCAAGCAUGCUGCUUGUGCAUCAUUUUCAUGCACAUCUCAAAGGGAUUAUCCAGAUGAGACCCAGGGGCUGCAGAGUUUCAAGACACAAGGAAAGCAAAGCACAUGGGUCAAGAUAUCUGAGCCACAGACGCUGAGCUGCGAGGGACCUUGCUG
rnacentral:lncRNA from 1 species